rfam:Eutrema salsugineum unplaced genomic scaffold scaffold_11, whole genome shotgun sequence.
AAACCAUGAUGGGGACACUGGUUGAUGUAGCUCCUAAAUCUUUCCCAUGCUUCCCCAAAUAUCUCAUUGCUGUGUUGGGUAAAGCUUGAGAUUUGAUUCCUCAGCGU